UUAUCUUAUUGUUUUAAAAAGUUAAUAUUACUAAUCAAAAUUCUUUUUUGAUUAUAUAAUUAAUAUAUAUACACAAAAUUCAUUCAGGGUAAUAUAGAUAUUAACCACUCUAACUUUCAACGUGAGAGCUUCGUUGCUAAAAAUUACUUCGCAAAUAAUAGUAUAGAUAGAAAUAAAAAGUCAAUCCAAUCACCAAUUGUUUCACGCAAUUUUAAAGUUGAAAUCCCAUAAUAAACAUAAAUCUAACGUGGUAUCAGAGCCUAAAACCUAAAUACCCUAAACUCCUAAUUAAUAUAAUUUCUCUACUUAACUUUUAAACUGGGUAUAAAAGUCAUAUUAAACUUUCUCGACCGAGUAUAAAUGUCCUAAAAUUUUAAAAUUUCUGACCGAUAAGAGUCAUCAUUUCGAUGAGAGAUAUUAUGGAUAAGUAUCUCAUAUUAGGAAUUUAGUAGGACCAUAAGUAAUCAUAUAUAUAAUGGAGGAACUUUUCUCUCUUCUAAGAACAUCCACAUCGUCAGUUUGUGGGGCCCACAUUUAAUUUGUUUGGUUUUUGUUUGGUAUUUUCUAUUUAGUUAAUGUCGUACUAGGUGUUUGGCCCGCACAUGCGAGCAUGAUCAUUUUACGAAAAUUAUAAAUUUUAAAACUAUCAUGCUAAAUUAUUUUUUUAUAUUUUUAGUCUCAAUUUUUUUUUGUUUUUUUUUUGUCUAAUUUUCAUCUUUUUGAACAUCAAGGAAUCUAAAAACUAUGAGAAAUCACCUAUCAAUCAUCUCACGCAAUGAAGUAAAUUAAAAAUAUAAACUUUCUUCUCUUUCAAUUAUUUUUACCUCUUCAAACCAGCAACAUGCAAGAAACUAUCAAAAACAAACUGAAAACACAAAACAAAAAUAAAUAAACUUUGUUUUUUGUUCAAACAAAAAUAAAUAAACUAAAAAGCCAAAUUUUAGGAUAACUUCGUAACUUAAAACAGAAGCAAAUUGAGAUAAAGACAAUAUUUCCUUAGUUUACGUGAUAAAUAUAUACAUAUAUUUAUCUUACUGUUUUAUAAAUUUAAUUUUACAGGUUUAUUUGACUGUUUUGAAUUAUUAGAAGUCUUUGUUUUAUUUAGUCUAACAUGUAAUUAUCAAGUUGCCCACAAAAUACCUGUCAAAAUAAUGUGUAAAGUGUAGUCAAUUAUACAUAGUUAAUUAUUAAAAUAACUAUUUAUAUAUUCAUUAAGGGUAAUAUAGAUAUUAAACUCUCUAACUUUUAGCGUGAAUGCUCCGUUGCAAAAAAUAAUUUCGUAAAAAAUAAUAUAGAUGGUAAUAUUAGUUUGGUUUUAUUUAUCUUUCUCUGUAUUUGGUUUAAUAUUUAGCCCAUGCAAUUUUGUUCGGUUAAUUAUUAUAUCAGCCUCGUAAAGAAUGUUUGGUUAUCUAACCAAACUCUGUUUUUGUUUUUCAGUAGGUUUUUUCGUUCUUCGACUCUUCUUCAACCUCACCGUCUCUUUAAACUUAGUCUGAAGUUUUUCUUUCAAACUCUUUACCUUCCUUAACGCUCAACGAGGUUCAACAUAUCCUACUAAAUUCCCUUAAUUAGUGUGAUUCUCAUUCAACCCAAUAACAUUUUCGACCUCUUCGUUUCCUUCCUUUUAUAUAUGAUUGGAGAGUAUUGCGAGUGUGAUGAAUCUUCACAAUCACUCUCAAUUAAUUGAUCCUUCGAAAAUGUCUUCCUCCGAUGUUGUUGCGCAAUCCGCCUUCGAUGUUCUCCGACUGGGUAGAUCUUCACAGUUCAUUGUUGCUCGCCUGCUCUGUUUUUGAACUCCAAAAACAUCAAGAAGCAUGGUGAAUUCAUGGGAGUUUUUUUAUAGCUCAUAUACAAGUCGAAACUCUUUCUCUCUCUCUCCAAAUAACAUGAUUAUGAUUGUUUAUAUGUUUUUUUAUAGCUGUAGCAUCAAGCUUUACUCUGGCUUGAAGCCUCAAUCCACAAGCUUUUUGACAAAAUGGGCAACAGAAUUUGAAUAUGAGUUAAAUCCAGAACAGGGAAAGCGAGUUGGUCACGGGUCAAGAUGAUGCCUAUAGGUACACCUACAGAAACCGAGAGGAAGACACUUGGCAAUAGCCUUCCCUAGUAUCGAGAGCGUGUGAUCUUCAAUGGACAAAACAUUGAUGAAGAGUUUAGCAACAAUAUACUAGCAACUAUGUUGUAUCUUGAUACUCUUGAUGACUCCAGGAGGAUUUAUAUGUACCUUAAUGGACCUGGCGGUGAUCUAACUCCAAGUUUAGCUAGCUAUGAUACAAUGAAGAGCUUGAAAAGUCCGGUUGGGACACAUUGUGUUGGGCUUGCCUAAAACCUUGCAGGUUUUCUUCUUGCUGCCGCUGAAAAGGUACUCUUUAUUUCACUUUCUUUUGAAUCAUGUGGAAACCAAAUUGAUCUUAUAUGCUAGCUAGACUCUGAGGAACUUGAAGUUAAAUUAUUGUUUUUUUGUGAAAGCAUCAACGGUUUGCGAUGCCAUUGUUAAGGAUCGCUCUCCAGUCACCUGGAGGCCCGGCCCUUUGCAUUCGAACCAUGCACCUGUUACCAAUUAUUGCACAGCAGAACCAAUAGACUAUAUACAACUUUUGGCAAUUUUGAUGUCCUUAAAUUGUUAACCUAAUUUGGCGCCUAGAGUACCUGCUUCCCAGCUUUAGGUCAGGGCCGGCCCGGCUGCUGGUGCAGCUCGUGGUCAGCUGGUGCAGGCUGACGAUGUUCAAAAUGAAGCAAAGGAGCUUUCAAGGAUAAGAGAUUACCUCUUCAACUAACUAGCCAAAAUACAGGACAGCCUGCGGAAAAGGAUUAGUUUUGUUGUCAUAAUAAUAAUUGACACUUCUGAGUGCAUAUGCUGAUUAUGAUGAAAUUAAUUAAACAAUGAUGAUGAUACAGAUUUUCAAAGAUUUGAGCAGAUUGAAAAGGUUCAACUCAGAAGAAGCUAUAGAGUAUGGACUUAUCAUUGUUAGACCACCGUGCAUCAAAGACGACGCUCCUCUCCAAGAUGAAUCCUCAGGUCUCGGUUAAUCUGCUUUAUUAACAUUCUGUAAUGUCAAAGUCUUACAAGCUUGGAGUUGUUGUUCUUUGUGCGAUUGUUACCAAAUAAAAUCAUCUAUGUAUAUAGAGUUAAUUAAUUAUCAUUGGACCUUGGAACUAGUUACGAGUUCAAAAGUUUUUUUUUUAUCA